UGGGACGUAGCCAAGCGGUAAGGCAACGGGUUUUGGUCCCGCUAUUCGGAGGUUCGAAUCCUUCCGUCCCAG
rnacentral:tRNA from 1 species